CUCUUUGGUCGAAUGGAGAAGUGUCAUAAUAUGGUCUAUAAAUGCUGGUAUAAGUCUAGUGUUUGCUCUUUAUAUGAUAAAAUCGCAAUAAAAUUAAUAAAUUCGAAACAAGUUAAAUUAACAUGUUUAUUAGUUUAGAAAUUACAUAUACAUGUAAUUCUAUUUUUAUUAAUGUUUUAUCUCAUUCUAGUCAUGAUCAAAUUUUUAUAAAAUUAUUUUUUACAGUAUAUUUUAUUUUAAGGACUUUCCUAUUUUCUUCUAGGGAUAGUAAUGAAAACCCGAGGUCUGGUUUUUGUUACGACCUUUAGUUCUCUAGGUAUGAUAUUAGUGUGUAUAAUUGGAUGUAUUCUUCUUGUCAAGCCGAAUUUGCGAGAAAGUAAUUAUAUAAACUAGAUAUUAAUGAAAUAAAUAAAACUUUUAGAGUUUUUAAUUCAUUAAAAUAUACUAAUUGAAUAUAAAUUUGUUAUAUCCUGAAAGGAGCUCUAAUAAUGUGCUUCGGUACCGGAGUUAUGGUAUGGGCAAGAGUCGAUAUAAUACCAAUACUAAAUAGACCACUUCAAGGACAUCGCCUUAACAACCCAGAGGAGAAAGAUGAAUGACGCACCUAUCAUAACCUAAUCCUUAAAUAAAAUUUUGAAAAUGAGAAACACUAGAUUUCUUACUUUUCCAAGCAUCAUCUAGUGUCUUGUUCACAUUUAUGAUAAACACAACCGAUGUAAAUUUUAUUGGUCCUUUUAUUAGUAGUGAUUAGAAUAGUAUUACUCAAACUUUUGCAUGCACGUACAUGUAUUUACUAAAAAUUGAAAAGACAUAUUUAAUAUUAAUAUAAUUAUAUAUUUUCUUAGGCAUCUACUCUUCAUGCAUAUCUAGUCGUUAGCAUUGUCUCUCUCUUAAGGUAUAAGUUGGAUGGGAGUAAUUCCAGGGGCAGCAUUAGCCUCUUUGGUCGAAUGGAGAAGUGUCAUAAUAUGGUCUAUAAAUGCUGGUAUAAGCUAGUGUUUGCUCUUUAUAUGAUAAAAUCGCAAUAAAAUUAAUAAAUUCGAAAUAAGUUAAAUUAAC
rnacentral:lncRNA from 1 species